rnacentral:lncRNA from 1 species
AUUUUUGAACUCAAUAAUUUUACUGAAUCAGCUCAACCAAGUUGUAUUGCUCGCGACUGGGUACAGUUCCUGCGACUAAAUUUUUUGAUUUAUCAACCUCGCAGAAUCAUAACCAAAGAGCAGAGAGUCUGCUGCAGAAAUUGGAGGAGUUUGUGGUGAAAGACGAGACACUGUGUCAUUAGCUCCCUUUCCAUGGCUCUCUGUUGUAUCAUUUUACAUCUUAUAAGAUAAUACACCUUCAUUAUUUUGUUAAUACAAGAUCUGCAUGUUUGUAGAUCAUGCCUAAAAGCAUAUAAAAGUGAAUUUUUCUCACAUGCAUUUAAUCAAACACUAAAACUACCUAUUUCAAUUCUUUGUAAGGUGGACACGAGUGGA